ACACUCCUACGGGAGGCAGCAGUGGGGAAUAUUGCACAAUGGGCGCAAGCCUGAUGCAGCGACGCCGCGUGGGGGAUGAAGGCCUUCGGGUUGUAAACUCCUUUCGCUAGGGACGAAGCUUUUUUGUGACGGUACCUAGAUAAGAAGCACCGGCUAACUACGUGCCAGCAGCCGCGGUAAUACGUAGGGUGCGAGCGUUGUCCGGAAUUACUGGGCGUAAAGGGCUCGUAGGUGGUUUGUCGCGUCGUCUGUGAAAUUCUGGGGCUUAACUCCGGGCGUGCAGGCGAUACGGGCAUAACUUGAGUGCUGUAGGGGUAACUGGAAUUCCUGGUGUAGCGGUGAAAUGCGCAGAUAUCAGGAGGAACACCGAUGGCGAAGGCAGGUUACUGGGCAGUUACUGACGCUGAGGAGCGAAAGCAUGGGUAGCGAACAGGAUUAGAAACCCGAGUAGUCCCA
rnacentral:rRNA from 1 species